rnacentral:rRNA from 1 species
AUGAACGCUAGCUACAGGCUUAACACAUGCAAGUCGAGGGGCAGCAUGACCUAGCAAUAGGUUGAUGGCGACCGGCGCACGGGUGAGUAACACGUAUCCAACCUACCGGUUAUUCCGGGAUAGCCUUUCGAAAGAAAGAUUAAUACCGGAUAGCAUAGCGAGAAGGCAUCUUCUUGUUAUUAAAGAAUUUCGAUAACCGAUGGGGAUGCGUUCCAUUAGUUUGUUGGCGGGGUAACGGCCCACCAAGACAUCGAUGGAUAGGGGUUCUGAGAGGAAGGUCCCCCACAUUGGAACUGAGACACGGUCCAAACUCCUACGGGAGGCAGCAGUGAGGAAUAUUGGUCAAUGGACGAGAGUCUGAACCAGCCAAGUAGCGUGAAGGAUGACUGCCCUAUGGGUUGUAAACUUCUUUUAUAUGGGAAUAAAGUGAGCCACGUGUGGCUUUUUGUAUGUACCAUACGAAUAAGGAUCGGCUAACUCCGUGCCAGCAGCCGCGGUAAUACGGAGGAUCCGAGCGUUAUCCGGAUUUAUUGGGUUUAAAGGGAGCGUAGGCGGACUAUUAAGUCAGCUGUGAAAGUUUGCGGCUCAACCGUAAAAUUGCAGUUGAUACUGGUCGUCUUGAGUGCAGGAGAGGUAAGUGGAAUUCCUAGUGUAGCGGUGAAAUGCGUAGAUAUUAGGAGGAACACCGGUGGCGAAGGCGACUUUCUGGACAAUAACUGACGUUGAGGCACGAAAGUGUGGGGAGCAAACAGGAUUAGAUACCCUGGUAGUCCACACAGUAAACGAUGAAUACUCGCUGUUUGCGAUAUACAGCAAGCGGCCAAGCGAAAGCAUUAAGUAUUCCACCUGGGGAGUACGCCGGCAACGGUGAAACUCAAAGGAAUUGACGGGGGCCCGCACAAGCGGAGGAACAUGUGGUUUAAUUCGAUGAUACGCGAGGAACCUUACCCGGGCUUAAAUUGCAUCUGAAUAAUUUGGAAACAGAUUAGCCGUAAGGCAGAUGUGAAGGUGCUGCAUGGUUGUCGUCAGCUCGUGCCGUGAGGUGUCGGCUUAAGUGCCAUAACGAGCGCAACCCUUAUCUUUAGUUACUAACAGGUCAUGCUGAGGACUCUAGAGAGACUGCCGUCGUAAGAUGUGAGGAAGGUGGGGAUGACGUCAAAUCAGCACGGCCCUUACGUCCGGGGCUACACACGUGUUACAAUGGUAGGUACAGAGGGCCGCUACCCCGUGAGGGGAUGCCAAUCUCGAAAGCCUAUCUCAGUUCGGAUCGGAGGCUGAAACCCGCCUCCGUGAAGUUGGAUUCGCUAGUAAUCGCGCAUCAGCCAUGGCGCGGUGAAUACGUUCCCGGGCCUUGUACACACCGCCCGUCACACCAUGAGAGUUGGGAAUACCCGAAGCCUGUGAGCCAACUGUAAAGAGGCAGCAGUCGAAGGUAGAAUCAAUGAUUGGGGUG